rnacentral:rRNA from 1 species
GGGAAAAUACGGCCAAGGUCUGUCCUUUCAAAUGACAGCAAGUUCACGGCCGCGGUACUCUGACCGUGCGAAGGUAGCAUAAUCACUUGUUCUUUAAUUGAGGACUAGUAUCAACGGCAUCACGAAGAUUUUACUGUCUCCUUUUUCUAAUCAGUGAAACUGAUCUCCCCGUGAAGAAGCGGGGAUAACCCUAUAAGACGAGAAGACCCCAUGGAGCUUUAAACCCAAUGACACCCCAACCCCUUAUUUUUCCCCAGAAUUCAUAAGCCCUGUCCAUUGGUUUUAGGUUGGGGUGACCGCGGAGUAUAACACAUCCUCCACAACGCACGGACCUUCCUCCUUAUCUUAGAGCCACACCUCAAAGAAUCAAUAAAUUGACGUAAUAUGAUCCAAUAGUUUUGAUUAAUGAACCAAGUUACCCUGGGGAUAACAGCGCAAUCCAUUUUUAGAGCCCUUAUCAACAAAUGGGUUUACGACCUCGAUGUUGGAUCAGGGUAUCCCAGUGGUGCAGCCGCUACUGAUGGUUUGUUUGUUCAACAAUUAAAACCCUACGUGAUCUGAGUUCAGACCGGAGGC